GGAGAAGACCUGCCAUGUYCCACCAGGAGGCUCCUAUGGAGUUAGGUCGUCUGGAGCUGAAUUUGCCACAGAUUGGGAUCGACUGGCUCAGCCACUGCUGUGCCCCGGAAGUGACUGAUUUCAAGUCACAGGCUCCAUUUGCAUGUGAAUGUGGACAAAUGUGGAAACAUGUAGAAUUCACUUWAAAAAAAAAGUACAAUAAUUUAAAAAUUCCCUCUGAGCUGUGGCCUUGCAGGCAGUCCCCUUGGGAGGCAAUGACUGAAGAAGGCUGUGGGACUUCCAGCUGUUCAAGGCUGCAGAGCAAGGCUGGAAAGGACUCAACUCCUUGAUCCUCUCGCUUGCAUCCCGUGUCAGGCAAAGAAUUAGCURCU